UUGAAAGGGAAACGAUUGAAGUCAGUCGUACCUGCGGGUAAUCAGCCUUUUGGGUGUGAUUAUGUGGAGCGUGAGGAGCUAAUCGCCUUCAUCUUUGCAUAUUCGUGCACUUUGGGUGUACUUGCUCGUGUGGUAGGUUAACAUCAAUUUUGAUCAUCAUAAAAUGAUUGAAGGAAUGUAGCUUCGAUCUCGUAUUGAAGUGUUAUAGCCUUUGGUAGAUGUGAUGAUCGGGAUUGAGGAUUGCAACGGAUACCCUUCGGGGCUACCUGUCUGAUCUCUGAAAGUUGCUCUGGUGCUGAAAGCUUGCUUAUGGUAUCAAAGUUGACGUUCAAUAGGUUAGAACGGGAUAAAUUCGUUAAGGAUGUUGACGUA
rnacentral:rRNA from 1 species